rnacentral:lncRNA from 1 species
GGGGACUCCCAUCUCAAGUGGGAACCUGGUGACAGUUGAGAACCAGAACUACUAGGUUCUCUCCUCCCUGGCCUUCUGGAAAGGUCACGUGGUAAUUCUUUAUCGAGUUGCUGGAAAUGACCCCAGGCUUCCCCACCGGGAGAUUCCUGCCUUACUUUCACUGAUAACAAGACUGAGUACCAGGGAGAAGCUGGGGCUGGUCCAUUCCUCAGAGGAGAGAUGCAACUCCCUUCUGAGCCAGCUCCGGAGCCACCUCUCCCAGAACUCUGGCAAGGUGCUUCACGCAGAUCUUUUUCUAAUGAAGAUACACAGCUAUCGGGCAGUGAUGUCAAUCUUGCAUUUAUCUUUAGGUAGAAUAAAGAAUUGGUCAUCUCCUGUUCUAACACACAGGCAUCUUUCCCCUUCCAUCAUCACUGAACAAUGCCAAACUUCUAGGAUCCAAGCUGAGUUUACGGUGAAAACAUGUCACAGCCCCCAUAAGGCUGCAGGGAAGAGUGGCCCUCAGGAUUGAGGUGCCUUGUGAUGGUCCCACAGGUUGACCUUGUUCUCCAGCCCCUUAUUGGCUUCAGUGAACAAGGAAAUUGUGAUGGAGAAGCU